rnacentral:rRNA from 18 species
AGUUUGACUGGGGUGGUCGCCUCCUAAAGAGUAACGGAGGCUUGCAAAGGUACCCUCAGCAUGGACGGUAAUCAUGCGCAGAGCAUAUUAGUAAAAGGGUGCUUGACUGUGAGAUCGACAGAUCGAUCAGGGACGAAAGUCGGCUAAAGUGAUCCGGUGUUUCCGCAUGGAAGGGACAUCGCUCAAAGGAUAAAAGGUACUCCGGGGAUAACAGGCUGAUCUCCCCCAAGAGCUCAUAUCGACGGGGAGGUUUGGCACCUCGAUGUCGGCUCGUCACAUCCUGGGGCUGGAGAAGGUCCCAAGGGUUGGGCUGUUCGCC